GGUGGGAGCUGAUUCAGGAGCCGGCCCAGCCGGCGGCUUUGAUGGGAUUUCAUCACCGCCUGUGCCUUGGCGGGGCGCCCAGAGAGAGCCCCGGGCUAUCAGCGCGCAGAACGGCUCCUCCCAGCCCCAGAGGGGGACCUGGUGCUGAAGGGUCCCGAAGCAGCCUAGAGGCUGAUCCCACGCCCAAGCCAUCUGCCCUCCCCACACUUUCCCAAGGAGCCCAGACGGAGAAAGGACCCAGCGAAUUAACGCGGAGCGACUCGUUAAUGACUUUAUUGCAGGGACCGCGGCCCUAACCUCACCGGUGUGGAAUUCCUUUCUCCCUCUCAAGAGUCCCUUUUGCUGGGUCUCUUGAGUCCAGCCCGCAACCUGCGGAAUUCAGCUCCUAAUUACUUGGGUCUCAACCAGUGCCUGCAACUUCACAGCGACUCGACUUCCUACCACCCUGUCCUGGUCGUCCCAUGCCAGCCACACCCCGGCCUGUUCCCUUGCUGCUUCCUUGACUAGCAUGGAUGCAGCACGGCAGCUGUGUGCACCCUGCACUCUCCUGCGUGCCACUGAGCAGCCACAGGGACCCAUCCAAGCCAGCUUGUCACUGUGCGGAAUGCGGAAUGCCAGGGCUCGGCAUGGCAAGCGCAACUCCUGGUUCCUGUCGUGAGUGGACAGGAGAUACACCGCUAGUACCCCAGACACACUUUUCCAUAUGCAAACUAUGGCCACCCCAACAUCACACCGUACCAGACACAUCGCCAUUAACUUCCACUGGAGGCUUCCUGCACAGGCAGCGUGCAGGGCAUCACCAGCGCCUCAGCCAGCACCACCCCACCAGACCCAGCAGAGCAGGGCCCUUCAGCCUGCUGUUGGGAAGGAACAAGUCACAAGAAGACACAUCAGCCCGCCUGCAGUCACAGAGGAGAUUCAAUCUCUUCAUAUGUUUGGCUGCUCGGAGUUUUUUUCAGUUUUGUUUUUUGUUUGUUUGUUUGUUUUUCUGGAAACUCCUAAGAGUUGGGGAAGAAAAAGUAAAUGGCUAAAGGUGGUAAAGAUGAACAAAUCCUGGAUCUCCCUCCCCCAGACUAGGGUCUUCUCUUGAGAAAAGCAGAGAGCAGACAACAGUUCAAAGGAGACAAGCAGCAAGUCAGCCCCCAAAAGGAUCCUCUGCUAGGAGCCCAGCUGGCCCGGACAGUGGUCCUCAAAGCCCAACAUCCCACCAACCUCGCCUCUCCCACCAUUCCCUGGGUGUCGAGUCUGGCCGCCCCAUAGAAUCAUCUGCUGGGCUCUCAUUGUGCUACAGUCCUUCAAAACAAGACCAAUCGCUUAUUGAAGAAUAAACUACAUCGAUAAUAACUACCCAAACCUUAGCCAGGCAUGGAGCCGUGUGCAUGUAAUCCCAGGACUAGAGAGUCUGGGGCAGGAGGAUCGCUGCUAGUUCAAGGCCAGACUAGGCUACAAAAUGAGUUCAAGACCAGCCUGGAAUCCAUAACGAGGACCCCCAUCUAAAAAUACAAAACCAAACCAAACCUGCUCAUCUCUUGAGUAAGCAACCUGUUGAAUGUUUUUAAAUCUUAACCAGCACCCGGAACAAAGCAGCAGCCUUUCAGAUCAGAGGCCGGGCUUGGUUUGACUGCACCUCAGUACCAGCCUCAGUGGCCGGCAUGAGGUAUGUACCUACCAAAGGGGUGUUGGAUGCAUCCCCGAAUGGUUACCUUUGCAUCUCCAUCUCUGUGUUGGACCCACGUAUCUUUUCUACCAGUUCCCACUUUGCCUCCGCUGCCCAAGGGACUGAUUCAGGAUUUCUUGUCCACCCUUCAAAAGGAUCCAUGCUGACUGACGAGCCUGUGGAGAAACCUUGAUAGCUGUGCAGACGGACAGGGAGAGCUGGCUGCUGACAGGCGCCGUGGCGAGCUGCGAGCUGCACUGCAGGGGAAAAGGGUGUUUCCUCUUCGUAGACUUGGAGCCGUGGUCUCGGCCACCAAUGCUAGUCAUGGCAUCCAUGUCUGCUAAGGACAAAGGACUGAGUCACUAGGGAACAGCACCCUGCAGCCGCCUUGCAUUAGCUCUAAGCAAAGGGACAAGCAGUGUGCACUCCUCCGUGUGCCAGGUGUCCAGGGCCACCCUGUUUCGAUGGCUGCCACCACACUGGAAGGGCAGAGGGGGUACAUGCCCUACACCCAUGUAAGCUGUCACAGCACACAUUCAGUGGGUGCCCCCUGAAUAUUAGUGGAUGUCUCCCAAAAGUCCAUGAGAAAUGAUUAGCCUACCAUUUAGUUAGCACUUACUACAUGCCAGGCACUGGCAUACGGGAUGACUUGUCCUCAUCACAUUUAUACUUUGCUGUUAUUCUCUCCGAUGAUCUGAUUACCCCCUCCACUUUUUUUUUUAACGAGGUUUCACUUUGUAUCCCAGGAUGGCUUUGAACU